UACGUAGGGUGCGAGCGUUAAUCGGAAUUACUGGGCGUAAAGCGUGCGCAGGCGGUUCGUUGUGUCGGCGGUGAAAGCCCCGGGCUCAACCUGGGAAUGGCAUUGGAAACUGGCGAGCUAGAGUGUGGCAGAGGGGGGUGGAAUUCCGCGUGUAGCAGUGAAAUGCGUAGAGAUGCGGAGGAACACCGAUGGCGAAGGCAGCCCCCUGGGCUGACACUGACGCUCAGGCACGAAAGCGUGGGGAGCAAACAGG
rnacentral:rRNA from 1 species